UAUGGCAAUAUCACAUUGAAACACCAGUUUUCAUACAAUCACUGAAGGUAAGCAACCUCGGUCCAGGUCAGUACGUAGAUGGGUGACUGCUUGGGAAUACCAGGAGCAGUAA